rnacentral:rRNA from 1 species
UACGUAGGGUGCAAGCGUUGUCCGGAAUUAUUGGGCGUAAAGGGCUCGUAGGCGGUCUGUCACGUCGGGAGUGAAAACUCAGGGCUUAACCCUGAGCCUGCUUCCGAUACGGGCAGACUAGAGGUAUGCAGGGGAGAACGGAAUUCCCGGUGUAGCGGUGAAAUGCGUAGAUAUCGGGAAGAACACCAGUGGCGAAAGCGCUCUACUGGGCCAUAACUGACACUGAGGGACGAAAGCUAGGGGAGCGAAAGGG